GAUGAACGCUAGCUACAGGCUUAACACAUGCAAGUCGAGGGGCAGCACGGAGAUAGCUUGCUAUCUUGGGUGGCGACCGGCGCACGGGUGAGUAACGCGUAUCCAACCUGCCCAUUACUCUGGGAUGGCCUUGCGAAAGUAAGAUUAAUACCGGAUGUUGUUAAAAACCCGCAUGAGUUUUUAACCAAAGAUUUAUUGGUAAUGGAUGGGGACGCGUGACAUUAGGUAGUUGGUGAGGUAACGGCUCACCAAGCCGACGAUGUCUAGGGGUUCUGAGAGGAAGGUCCCCCACACUGGAACUGAGACACGGUCCAGACUCCUACGGGAGGCAGCAGUGAGGAAUAUUGGUCAAUGGACGAGAGUCUGAACCAGCCAAGUAGCGUGCAGGAUGACGGCCCUCUGGGUUGUAAACUGCUUUUAGUUGGGAAUAAAAAGAGGGACGUGUCCCUAAUUGUAUGUACCAUCAGAAAAAGGACCGGCUAAUUCCGUGCCAGCCGCCGCCGUAAAAC
rnacentral:rRNA from 1 species